rnacentral:ncRNA from 1 species
UGCUUUUGGGGCGAGGUGAAACUCCUCACCGGCGGUGUGUAUGAAUAGCCACUCGGAUAUAGACAUUUGAGUUGUCGUACAAGCCCGCAAGCGCUUAAUAUCGUAGCAUUUAUGAAACGCCGAUAUUAAGGUCAGCAGAUCUGGUAAAAAGCCAGAGCCGACGGUUAUAGUCCGGAUGAAAAAAGGCA